CUUAUCAUGUAAUGUUGCUGGAAUUCCUUGACGGCAUGCAUGAUUUCAAACCCUUCAGUUCAGACGGCAGCAUGGCUCGAGGGAGAUGGAGAGUACUGCAGAAUGAAGAUUUAAUUAUUUUCAAUCUCUUCUUUAGAAUAAUAAAUUUGCCAAAAUUGCUAUAGUUUUUGACGGCUUAACAUAAUUACCUUCAGACCUCGAAAAUACUAGUACGAAUAACUGGCUUGAAGUGGAAAUCAUACGUUCAAGGUCAAACUAAUGACUAAAGCUUUUUUUGUCCAUAUGUCUGAGGAAAAUCACCUUGGAAAAUCAGUUUGACAAGAGAUUUCUGUUUUUCUGUAGUUAGUAGACCACCAAACUAUUAUUAAACUAAACAAAGAGUGCAUCUUGUGUCGCCUAGGAAGACUCGAGUGUGACGCAUAAAUGGGCUCAAUGGAACAGAUAAGUGACCAUAAGUGCCUGAAGCUAUUUUACAUAUUCAGUAACAUAAUGCUGAACAAAACCCUGCCAUAUUAUGAGCAAAUACAUUAUCUGCACCAUAAAUGCCGCAGUAGCCUCUAGUGAUGGUCAGCUAAUCAAAAGACCAGGUGAAGAAAGCAGAACUAGCAUCUAUAUUGAUUUGCAAACAUCAAUGAAGAAGACAAGAUACUACCAAAAAGGCUAAUAUCAACAAAAUAUUUCAAGCAUGAAUUCAGACAAUGUGAUGCAAUGUUAUCUGGUCAUAGUUCAAACAAUGAUCUCCAGAAAAGAAACCUUCGAAGCAUCUUGCAAAUCAUGAGCUCAAAAAGAAAAAUAUGAACAACGAUAUAGUCAAUAAGCAACCAACAACAAUGAAACAAC
rnacentral:lncRNA from 1 species